GACGAACGCUGGCGGCGUGCUUCCCCCCUGCACGUCGACCGGAAAGGCCCUGCUUGCAGGGUACUCGAGUGGCGAACGGGUGAGUAACACGUGGGUGAUCUGCCCUGCACUUCGGGAUAAGCCUGGGAAACUGGGUCUAAUACCGGAUAGGAGCCAUUUUUAGUGUGAUGGUUGGAAAGUUUUUUCGGUGUAGGAUGAGCUCGCGGCCUAUCAGCUUGUUGGUGGGGUAAUGGCCUACCAAGGCGGCGACGGGUAGCCGGCCUGAGAGGGUGGACGGCCACAUUGGGACUGAGAUACGGCCCAGACUCCUACGGGAGGCAGCAGUGGGGAAUAUUGCACAAUGGGCGCAAGCCUGAUGCAGCGACGCCGCGUGGGGGAUGACGGCCUGCGGGUUGUAAACUCCUUUCGCUAGGGACGAAGCUUUUUGUGACGGUACCUAGAUAAGAAGCACCGGCUAACUACGUG
rnacentral:rRNA from 1 species